ACGAACAAUCAAUAGAUUGUCAAGACGAGUGUCACGUCGAACACAGCGACGUGUUCGGGAAUUUUCAAACGAGGAGGAGAGGGGUCGAACAUUUGUUUUAUACAGAUCUGAAGGUUGGCUUUGUCUCCUUCUAAAUAUAUUAUUUCUAUACGUCUUUAUUUCAAAUUUCAAUUAAGUAUGAUGGUAAAGCACAAAAUAUGUUGACCCAUGUAUCUCACAUAUACUCCGUAGUAUA